UGUAAAGCCACCACAGGUGUGUAAAGUCACCACAGGUGUGUAAGGCCACCACAGGUGUGUGAGGCAACCACUAGAGGUGUGUAAAGCCACCACAGGUGUGUAAAGUCACCACAGGUGUGUAAGGCCACCACAGGUGUGUGAGGCAACCACUAGAGGUGUGUAAAGCCACCACAGGUGUGUAAAGUCACCACAGGUGUGUAAGGCCACCACAGGUGUGUGAGGCAACCACUAGAGGUGUGUAAAGCCACCACAGGUGUGUAAGCCACCACAGGUGUGUGAGGCAACCACUAGAGGUGUGUAAAGCCACCACAGGUGUGUAAGCCACCACAGGUGUCUAAGGCCACCACAGUUGUGUAAAGCUACCACAGGUAUGUGAGGCUACCACAGGUGUGUAAUGCCACCACAGGUGUGUAAAGCCACCACAGGUGUGUAAAGCUACCACAGGUGUGUAAAGUCACCACAGGUGUGUUCAGAGACCACAGCUCACAGCCCCUCUUCUUCUCCCUG
rnacentral:lncRNA from 1 species